rnacentral:tmRNA from 1 species
CGAGAUUCCGCCUGCGGUGUCGGCAAGGGCGUCAUGUUAGCAGGCUGGCGACGCUGCCAUUCGGCCGGCAGCGGGGCGAGAGCGGCGAAAGCCCAUGUGCCGGAUAGUCUGCCGGAAAGUGUGUCGCUGCACGGUUCGGCCGGCGAAUGUAAACCAGCGAAUACCACGUAGACGCUCCAGUGGACCACCUUCGGACCCGGGUUCGACUCCCGGCGCCUCCACCA